AUGUUUCUGUUAGAAGAAUGGGAGGAGGCUGUGGUGAGUGCAGUGGCAGCAGGUGGGAAGGCUCCAGCAGGGAGAAGCCAGCCUGGCCUUGGAGGGGGUGGAAGGAACCUCCUAGGGACCGGAGGAGGGCAGAUUUGGCAGUGUCUCAGAACAGGAAUGUCUACAGGACUCUGUGUGGUUCCUGGAUACCACAGAUGUCUGGGGAGGAACUGCCAGCCAGAAAAUGGUAAGCAGCUGAGGAAAAUGGUGGAGAGGAAAAGAUGGUCAUCCAUUCUGUGACUUUUAGACUCUGUUUGAAGAAAUCAAAAUAAUUCAUGUAAUUUGGAAGCUUUACAUUAAAGUCUUGAUGAAGUUCAC
rnacentral:lncRNA from 1 species